rnacentral:rRNA from 1 species
CUUUUCUCGCAUGAGAGAAGAUGGAAAGACGGUUUACGCUGUCACUUAUAGAUGGGCCCGCGGCGCAUUAGCUAGUUGGUGAGGUAAUGGCUCACCAAGGCGACGAUGCGUAGCCGACCUGAGAGGGUGAUCGGCCACACUGGGACUGAGACACGGCCCAGACUCCUACGGGAGGCAGCAGUAGGGAAUCUUCCGCAAUGGACGAAAGUCUGACGGAGCAACGCCGCGUGAACGAAGAAGGCCUUCGGGUCGUAAAGUUCUGUUGUUAGGGAAGAACAAGUACCAGAGUAACUGCU